CUUCACCGACCCGAGCCACAGCGGACGGUCCCGCUCGGCGCCGUAGGUGGCGAGCAGCGCCGUGGCCUC
rnacentral:antisense_RNA from 1 species